ensembl:snRNA U1 U1 spliceosomal RNA
GAAUUUACCUUGCAGGGGAGAUACCGUGAUCACAAAGGUGAUUUUCCCAAGGCGAGGCUCAUCUGUUAUGUUCUGGAUAUGCUGACCGUGUAAUUUUCCCAAGUGUGGAAAACCACCUGCAUGCAUAAUACGUGGCAGUGUUGGUAUGUGUUUUAAGAUGAGCCCUCC